rnacentral:rRNA from 1 species
UACGUAGGGUGCGAGCGUUGUCCGGAAUUACUGGGCGUAAAGAGCUCGUAGGUGGUUUGUCGCGUUGUUCGUGAAAACUCACAGCUUAACUGUAGGCGUGCGGGCGAUACGGGCAGACUGGAGUACUGCAGGGGAGACUGGAAUUCCUGGUGUAGCGGUGGAAUGCGCAGAUAUCAGGAGGAACACCGGUGGCGAAGGCGGGUCUCUGGGCAGUAACUGACGCUGAGGAGCGAAAGCGUGGGGAGCGAACAGG